GCUGGAGUUUCCUGUCUGAGCUGCUGUGUGACCUCAGACAGGCCUGCGCUUGUCCCUCCGACCUGGGAAAGGGCUUGAGGGGGCACUGUGGUUUCUGUAGACCUGAGCCCCAGGGUCAUAAUCGGUGUCUGGCCCUGCCUGCCUCGUGGUCCCAGCGGGAGCAGCCCUGUUUCUGCUCACCGCGUUCCUCUGGGACCCCAAGCCAUACGAGUCAAAAGGAGAACUGAGCAGAUCAGAGGAUGGGGCUGGGGUGGGAUUCCUGCCUCUGCCCAGCCUCUAGCGCCCUGUGACUGUUCUGGACCUCGGUUCUCGCUCUGUGCAAUGGGCCAGCAGCCGAGCUCUGCCCCCUCCCCCAGAGUCCCAGUGAGCCUGUGGUCCCCCUCCCUGCCCAGAGGAUGGGCUGACAAGGAAGGAUUUGCCAAAACGAAGUCCCCUUCUGUCUGGAGCUUCAGGGAGGGCCUGGGGGUUCUGCGGAAGUCGCAUCCAGGGGGAAGGUUGAGUUGCUGGUACCCAUCUGGGCCAGGAGACAGCCAGAGCCCUGGCGGUCAUACAGGUGAAAACAGAUCAACCUGGCCGCACGCCUGGGCUGGGGCGCCAGGGGCCAGUCCCCCGCAACCACUGAGCCUCUCAUUCCCUCCGCUGGUCAACCUGCAGGCCUGAGUCGGGGUGAUGCUGAAGAUGCUGACCUUAUUCCAAGGACUCCCAGGCCAGCAGCCUGUGUCCAGGGCCCCUGACUUCCCCAGAAGUGCCCAGAAGUUGCCCUCUACCUCAGAGGCAGAGUCUGAGGCCUCCAUGUCGGAGGCCUCCUCCGAGGACCUAGUGCCAUCCCUGGAGGUUGAGAUGGCCGCGGACAGGGAUGAAGAAGAGGCCGGCAAGAAGAAGAAGAAGUCGAAAGGCCUGGCCACCAUGUUCAGCGUCUUCACCAAAGGGAGGAAGAAGAAAGGUCAGCCCAGCUUAGCAGAGACUGAGGGUGAGCCUGAGUCCAGUCCGCGGCCGCCUGCCCAGCUGCCCACAGUGGAGGAGCUCAAGGCCGACCUGGAGCGCGGGCGGCUGGAGGCGGCGGGGCCGCUGCUGGCGCUGGAGCUGGAGCUGCAGGAGGCCGCGGCGGCGGGCCUCGCGAGCGAGGAGGAGCUGGUGCGGCGCCAGAGCAAGGUGGAGGCGCUGUAUGCGCUGCUGCGCGACCAGGUGCUAGGGCUGCUGCGCCGGCCGCUGGAAGCGGCGCCCGAGCGGCUGCGCCAGGCGCUGGCCGUGCUGGCCGAGCAGGAGCGCCAGGACCGCGCGGCGGCGGCGGCGGCGGGGCCCCCGGGGAGCCCGGGGCUGGCGGCCACGCGGCCCCGAGGCUGGCUGCAGCUGUGGCGGGACGGCGUGGCGCAGGCGGCCGCGGAGCGCCUGAGCCGGCGGCCGGCCGCGGACGCCGAGGGCCGCACGGAGGCCGAGCGCGCCUUCCUGCACAUGGGCCGCACCAUGAAGGAGGACCUGGAGGCCGUGGUGGAGCGCCUCAAGCCGCUCUCCCCCGCCGACUUCAGCGUGGUGGCCGCCUACGCCGAGAGCUACCACGCGGAAUUCGCGGCCCAGCUGGCGGCCCUGACGCAGUUCGAGCUGUGCCCGCGAGACACCUCCAUGCUGCUGCUCUGGGUGCAGAACCUCUACCCCAACGACAUCCUCAACAGCCCCAAGCUGUCGCCCGAGCUGCAGGGAGUCAGACUGGGAACCCUCCUGCCUCAGACCCAGAUCCGGCAGCUAGAGGCCACGUUCCUCUCCAACGAGGUGGCCAGCAUAAGGGAGCUGACAGCCCGAGCUCUGGAGCUGGAGUCGGAGCGCUGGACCAAGGAUGAGGCCCCACAGAGGCUGGACGGCCGCUGCCACAGUGAGCUGGCCAUCGACAUCAUCCAGAUCAUUUCCCAGGGCCAGGACAAGGCCGAGAGCAUCACUCUGGACCUGGGCACGCAGAUAAAGCCCUUGCUGUUGGAAGAGCUGGCCAGGUUCCUCAGGAGCUACCAGCGCGCUUUUGAUGAGUUUCUGGAGCGAUGCAGACAGCUGCGAAAUUACAGGGCCAAUGUCAUAGCUAACAUCAACAACUGCCUCCCUUUCCGAAUGUCUGUGGAGCAGAGGUGGCAGACACCACCAGACCUCCGGAGCUCCCUGCUGAGGCCCCUGAAUGAGCUAAAAAGCCACGGCUUUGAUACUCUGCUCCAGAACCUGUUUGGGGACCUGAAGCCGCUGUUCAAGAGGUUCACGAGGACCCGCUGGGCUGCCACCCAGCAGACCCUGGAGGAAAUCGUCUCCACCGUGGCCGAGAGGAUGCCUGAGUUCUCAGAGCUGCAGGACUGCUUCCGAGAGGAGCUGCUGGAGGCGGUCCACCUGCACCUGGUGAAGGAGUACAUCACCCACCUCUGCAAGCGGCGCCUGGUCCUCAAGACAGCGGAGCAGCAGCAGCAGCUGGCGGGGCUCGUCCAGGCCAACGCCCAGGACAUCCAGCAGUUCUGCACACAGAGCGGCUCCCGGGCCACCUGGCUGCACCACGCCCUCCCCACGCUUGCCGAGAUCAUUCGCCUGCAAGACCCCAGUGCCAUCAAGAUCGAGGUGGCCACGUACGCCGCCUUGUACCCUGACUUCAGCAAGGGCCACCUGAGUGCCAUCCUGGCCAUCAAAGGGAACCUGUCCAGCAGUGACGCCAAGAGCAUCCGGAGCAUUCUAGACAUCAACACGGGGGCACACGAGCCCUCCAAGGCUCUAUUUUCGCUUAUAAAGGUUGGUUAGCUUUUUCUGCGGCCUGACCUCCUUAGGAGCGCCUGGCAAGCAUGGGAUACCACUCCGUUUGGGGGCCGUCAGACCAGCACCAGCGUCACAGCCCCAUGCGGUCCCUCUGGGAGUCCUGAGUUCUGCUGCUGCUUCUGCCCAGGCCUGGCCGAGGUGUGGGCCCCUGGGCCGCUGGAACUGGACAAGCCAUGAUGUGUUGACCCCCCUCCUGUGGGGCAGGAGCUGUUUGGGGAAGCUCUGUGAAUGAGAGUGGAGCUUGCAUGCCCUGAAGGAGGGGUCAGGAGGGUGUGUGGCUCGGGGACCCAGCUCUGGGAUCACCGCCUGUCCACGAGAUCCUGCCCCACCUGCCUGAGGACCGCCCUGCUCAGGCUGGGUCUCCGGCCUCCACAGCUCCUGAGCAGGCCCGAGCCUCACCCCUCCUGCCUGCUCUGGUCCAGGGCUGCGUCGAGCCAGCCU
rnacentral:lncRNA from 1 species